rnacentral:lncRNA from 7 species
GUCGCUAAUCACCAGCACCCGCUACAGAUCUUCCAACACGAGCAGAUCCUGCGAACUAAAGACCCCGACUACUUCUUGCCGGUGUUCUUGCCGCCCUUGGCGCAGGCGCCUCCCGCGGCCUGCACCGCCUUCCUGGCAGCCUUCUCCUGCAGCGCCUUGGCGUCGUCCGUUCCGGUGUCCUCCGGCAGCCAGAUCUCGCGCGCGGACGACCGCUGUGCAGCGCCGACGGAAGUGGAGAAGGAGGCCGAGCAGGAGAAGCAGCUGCUACCGCACGCGCGGAAGGAUG